rnacentral:rRNA from 1 species
AUUGAACGCUGGCGGCAGGCUUAACACAUGCAAGUCGAGCGGGGUGAUGGUGCUUGCACUAUCACUUAGCGGCGGACGGGUGAGUAAUGCUUAGGAAUCUGCCUAUUAGUGGGGGACAACAUCUCGAAAGGGAUGCUAAUACCGCAUACGUCCUACGGGAGAAAGCAGGGGAUCACUUGUGACCUUGCGCUAAUAGAUGAGCCUAAGUCGGAUUAGCUAGUUGGUGGGGUAAAGGCCUACCAAGGCGACGAUCUGUAGCGGGUCUGAGAGGAUGAUCCGCCAAACUGGGACUGAGACACGGCCCAGACUCCUACGGGAGGCAGCAGUGGGGAAUAUUGGACAAUGGGGGAACCCUGAGCCAGCCAUGCCGGGUGUGUGAAGAAGGCCUUAUGGUUGUAAAGCACUUUAAGCGAGGAGGAGGCUCUUUUGGUUAAUACCCAAGAUGAGUGGACGUUACUCGCAGAAUAAGCACCGGCUAACUCUGUGCCAGCAGCCGCGGUAA